rnacentral:lncRNA from 1 species
AUGCUGCCCAUGGUUAUAUGGCAUGCCGAUGGCAGAGGGUGUUGUAAGCACUUUUACCCGAAUGCCAUGCUAUUUUACAUGGAGGGGACUGCCAUCAGUUACCACAGCAGUGUAUUACAGCCAAAUGUGAGUAUUGGGAUACGUCUUUCUUGAUAAUCUCCUUUAUAAUUCAGUUUUCUUUCUUUGGGAGAGAUAUCUAUGUGGCAGUUUCCAACAAAUCAUUUUUGCAAAUCUAGAUAAAAAUGAUAAAGUAAUUUUUUUUAGCAGAAUCAUCAUGUAGUCUCAGUAAAUUACUCAGACUGUCUCUUAAGAGUCGGUCUUCUCUUCUACUGACAUCUCAUUCUUUAUAUGCCAGAAAAAUUUUGUACUGGUUUUCUCAACAGUGUCUAGUUAUCCUUUAUUUUCUGCCUUACCCUUUCCUAUCAUGGGUAUGUCUCCUCUUCAUUUUAUUGUCACUUCAGACUUCUCACUGUCGUAUAUAUUAUUCCUCCCCUUGAUCUUUUUUCAUAAGCUUGGAUAGUCUUUGCAAAUUGUUGUUCAUAAAUGUUGACCCUUUUUUGUAUUUAUUUUUGAUUGUGAAAUGCAAGCCUAGAGAAGUCAUUAAUUUCCCUUCAUUUCCCCCCCACACUUUUCCUGCUUUGUUUCAUUUAAUUAUUUCCCACGUCAUAGUAAAAAUGACUUUGGGGAGGAAAAUUACUUUCUGACACUUGAAGCACUUUUCCUAUAGUCCUAACUUUUUUUAACUGAGUAUUAAUAUUCAGAAUUAAGUCUGCAGUUAAUGUGCUCAGAUACAUUUCACUGAAAGGUAGUCAAAGUUAUUAUUUUGCUUGGUGAGCUGUUCAUUUGAUUUGAUGAUUCUCGUUUACACUAACUCCUCUUUACAGGGGUCUGACAAUAUAAAGGAGAUUUGCAUUAAUAUUUCAUCUGAUGUCUUAAUCGGCUGUUGAUAAAUAUAAAUAUUUGACCCUGGAAGUCUUCGGUUGCAUCAUGUCAAAAUCUUCCUGUUUCUAGGAUUUUGUUGUUCAGCUUCAUGGGAUUUUUAGUUAAUGAUCUCAGUGUGGAAAUUCUUCUUCUGCAGCAUGUAUGAAAUAAAUGAUAUUGUUCUCAUUUGGACUCUGCA